AGCCCCAUCCUAGCCCAAUCACAUCAACCACCCUGAUAUUCAAAAGCCAACAAUCCCACGCAAGCUAAAACAUUUUUCACAGCUUAGUAUGGGCGACAGAAAAGCACCCGUUUGGCGCGAUAGUGAACCUGUACCGUAAGGGAAAGAUGAAAUAGCAAUGAAAACCCAAGCUACAAACAGCAAAGAUAAGCCCUUGUACCUAUUGCAUCAUGGUUUAGCAAGAAUAACCAAGCAAAACGAAUUAAAGCUUGCCAUCCCGAAACCCAAGCGAGCUACUUACGAGCAGCUACCAGUUGAGCGAACCCGUCUCUGUUGCAAAAGAGUGGGAUGACUCGUUAGUAGAGGUGAAAAGCCAACCGAGCUGGGUGAUAGCUGGUUGCCUGUAAAACGAAUCUAAGUUCUUCCUUGACCCUCCUCCCAGGACACCAAAUGCAACCCCCAUGUGUGGUUCAAGAGCAAUUUAAAGGGGGUACAGCCCCUUUAAAACAGAAUACAAUCUCACCUAGAGGAUAACUUUAGCCCCUCCCACUUUUCUCUGUAGGCCUUAAAGCAGCCAUCAAUAAAGAGUGCGUCAAAGCUCAGCCCCUAAAAAUAUAGAAGCCUAAGGACUCCCUCACCAUAAACAGGCUAACCUAUGACAAUAGGAGAAUUAAUGCUAAAAUGAGUAACUAGGGAUCUGCCCUCUGAAGCGUAAGUCUACACCACAACGUUAUUAACAGACUAGAGCUAAUAUUCUAACUCCAACAAGACCUAGUAUUACAGACCCCUGUUGACCCAACCCUGGAGCGCAGACUAGAAAGAUUAAAAUCUGUAAAAGGAACUAGGCAAACCCAAGGCCCGACUGUUUACCAAAAACACAGCCUUCAGCCAGCCAAGUAUUGAAGGUGAUGCCUGCCCAGUGACACCACGUUCAACGGCCGCGGUAUCCUAACCGUGCGAAGGUAGCGCAAUCAAUUGUCCCAUAAAUCGAGACUUGUAUGAAUGGCUAAACGAGGUCUUAACUGUCUCUUACAGAUAAUCAGUGAAAUUGAUCCUCCUGUGCAAAAGCAGGAAUAAACACAUAAGACGAGAAGACCCUGUGGAACUUCAAAAUCAGCGGCCACUGCACAUUAAACCAGGGCCUACCAGGCCCCCACCCUACCGUAAAACCUGGCCCGCAUUUUUUGGUUGGGGCGACCUUGGAGAAAAACAAAUCCUCCAAAAAUAAGACCACCCCUCUUAACUUAGAGCAACCCCUCAACGUACUAACAGUAACCAGACCCAAUAUAAUUGAUCAAUGGACCAAGCUACCCCAGGGAUAACAGCGCAAUCUCCUUCAAGAGCCCAUAUCGACAAGGAGGUUUACGACCUCGAUGUUGGAUCAGGACAUCCUAAUGGUGCAGCCGCUAUUAAGGGUUCGUUUGUUCAACGAUUAACAGUCCUACGUGAUCUGAGUUCAGACCGGAGCAAUCCAGGUCGGUUUCUAUCUAUGAUGGACUUUCUCCAGUACGAAAGGACCAGAGAAAGUGGGGCCAAUACAGCAUAUUAUGCCUCCCCUCUAAAUAAUGCACUCAACUAAAUUACCAAGAGGACCCCCGCAAUUGUCCUAGAAAAGGACC
rnacentral:rRNA from 1 species